GAGUGACAUCUGGAGAUGAUUCCCUUUCCUCCUCUCCUCUGCAGCACAGGAGUGUGUGACCUUCCUCAUCAAACGUAGAUGUACCAGCUAGUCACGUGCCAGUAAUGUUGAAUGAAUCUGGGAAGGAAGAAGCUCUGGCCUGUCAACUCUCAUUUUAAAAAAAAAAAAAAAAAAAAAAAAGGAAAAGGAAGAGGAUCAAGUGCUGGCUGCCCAUGUGCAUGGAUGUAUGUUGCAGAUCUUGGGGAAGCAGAAAUGCUUUUGCCUUCCUUUUGGCUCUGUUGAGGUCUGACACAGGAGGCAGAGGCUGAACUGCUCCAGGACUAGGAGGAGCAGGAGAGCAGUGUACGUGCAGCGCUGCACCCCUACAGAGCUGGCCUGGGAACUUCUGUGCUGUGCCAGGCUCCAUCCACAACCUGGCUAAAGCACCUGCAGAUGCUUCCUAUUUCUCGUCUGUGGCUUCUAUUUCCCACUAAUUGGAGUUGACACUGGAAGGACCAGUUCUCCUUUUCCUCCUCCUGGAUGUUUUGAUUGGAAUGUUAAUACCGUCCUCUUUCAUUACCGGGCUGUGCAGAGUGGUGUUCAAGGUAUAGGAUCGGCUUUCCUGCAGAAGCUGCGCCUGCCCUGCGGGGUGCCAGAGUGGAGUUCGUGCACAGCUGGCUACUGGCGGUACAGCAGUCCCAGUCCUUGUGCGCCUGUGCUUUUGGGAGCAAUGAAAUCUGGACCGAGAUUUUGUGUUUCUGGCCUGUCCUGCCCAAAAGUAAACUUCCUGCUGAAUGAGCACAGAGAGAACCGAGCUGUUCUGCAAGUAAAAUAGUGAAAUCUUGGAAGCUGAACUCAUGCAAAAUAUUAUUCCCUCAGAGUGUUUCUGCAUGUUGAAUACAUCAAUCUCUGCAAAAAUCUGAGAGUGUUGGCCCCUGGGUGGCAAAUAUUUCCUCCAGGGCUGAAAAAGCCUCCUCUGCUUCUUGCAGAGCCCCUCCCCAUCCCUGCCCCAGCUCCUCACCAGCCUGCUGCACUGUGCAUCCCUCCCAGACAAAUUCAGCCCCUAUCCCAAGAAACAUUAAUGGAUUUCUGUAGUGUGAAUUCACAACCUCAAAAUGUCACAGGGAGUGUUAUUUUCGCUAACAAGGCAAGCCUGAUUAAACCAUCCUGACUCCUUGCCUUCCUAAAGUAGCCUCAGAGGUGGGGCUGUGCAAAAAAAAAAAAACGGGGGGGGGGGGGGACAGACAGCAAAAUGCAUUGCAUCCCUGUAGGUGUUCCCAGUACCUCUGGGAGUCCACAAGUCCUGGGGUGCCUGCUGCCCCCUUGGGAGUUGUGUAUCUGCCAGGAAAUGGUGAUUUCUCUGGAGCUUACAGCUCUGCAUCUCCCUCCUCUGGAAUCAUUGUACCCUACAGAGGGGCUG